UUGAAGUUGUCGAAAUCUCACAGAAUCAUGCGAGAUGUCAAAAUGAUAAGUUGUUGGCUGCUUUCAGUAGGGCACAGAGUAGAAUAUUGAUUACAUUUUUUAAGGAAAGCAGGGGUUUUAGGCAGGAUUUGAUGCAUAAGGUGUGUGUAGAUAUUAAUGGUAGGGGACAAUGUGAGUGAUGCGUACCUUUAGUAGGAAAACCUAUUAUCUGAUCCACACUCCGGGACAGAAGAGGGCGGUAUUGCACCAAUAAGCUGGAUGCCAACCGCCGUUAAACUGGAAAGAAGUUACAAUGAGUUACAAUGAUCUUUUGUGGUGGAGCAGGACCUGCAAGGAAAGGGGAAAAAAAGGAAAAACCUGAAACAAAAGAAUAAAGUAGUGGUGCUCAUGGAGAGCAGCACACGAUUGUUUGGAGCAGACACAGCAGCAGUCAGAUUGUCCUGCAUGUGUUCUUCUGCUCUCGCUUCAAGGUAGUGUGGUUCAGAGAGCCGUCAUCAAGGUCUUCCUC